AUUGAACGCUGGCGGCAGGCCUAACACAUGCAAGUCGAACGAGUGGCGGCCGGGUGAGUAAGGUUUGGGAAACUGCCUGAUGGAGAGGGAUAACUACUGGAAACGUUAGCUAAUACCGCAUACAUUAAAAUCGGCCCAGAUGGGAGUGGCUAGUAGGUGAGGUAACGGCUCACCUAGGCGACGAUCUCUAGCUGGUCUGAGAGGAUGACCAGCCACACUGGAACUGAGACACGGCCCAGACUCCUACGGGAGGCAGCAGUGGGGAAUAUUGCACAAUGGGCGCAAGCCUGAUGCAGCCAUGCCGCGUGUAUGAAGAAGGCCUUCGGGUUGUAAAGUUCUGUCAUCGGGGAGGCGUUACUCGCCGAAGAAGCACCGGCUAACUCCGUGCCAGCAGCCGCGGUAAUAC
rnacentral:rRNA from 1 species